rnacentral:rRNA from 1 species
UAUGGCCAUAUCACCCUGAACAUGCCUGAUCUCAUCUGGUCUCAGAAUUUAAGCAAGGUCACAAGCUAAACUGGGUUAAUGUUAGGUGGGACCAUGCUCAGAACAAAGGACCUAACAUGAUGGCCAUAU